AUGGAAGGAGAGGGGCUGGUCAAUGGAACCACAGAGCCAUGGGGCAAACAGCACGUCUCAGAGAACCAGGGCCUGGGCUCUGACCCAGCACCUCCAGCUCCAGGGGUCCCUGAAGUGCUUGAGCACAGCAGGCAAAGGCCUGACUGUCUUCUUGAAGAUGGUCAAGCCCUUCUGUUUGGAGGUCAGCUAGAGAAACUGGCAAAGCAGCUGUCAAUCCAGAAAAUCCAGGGGAACUGAGAAAGGAAAUUGAGCAAACCUGAGAGGACUGAACUGACUUGGUAGCUACAAGAUUCUCAGGACUGUGACGCAGUCCCAGGUCUUCUGAAACCACUAUCAUGUCUCUCCAAGUGGGUUAGCUGGCACAUUUUCAUUUGAAAUAUUGUACUAUGUUAUAGAAAUGUUUGCUUUAUUCCAAAAAUUAAAAAUAAAAU